rnacentral:rRNA from 1 species
GGAUGUGGGGUUGCUUAGACAACCAGGAUGUUGGCUUAGAAGCAGCCACCAUUGAAAGAGUGCGUAAUAGCUCACUGGUCGAGUGACCCCGCGCCGAAAAUGUACCGGGGCUAAACAUAUUACCGAAACUGUGGAUGAACCUCUUUAGAGGUUCGUGGUAGGAGAGCGUUCUAAGGGCGGUGAAGUCAGACCGGAAGGACUGGUGGAGCGCUUAGAAGUGAGAAUGCCGGUAUGAGUAGCGAAAGAAGGGUGAGAAUCCCUUCCACCGAAUAUCUAAGGUUUCCUGAGGAAGGCUCGUCCGCUCAGGGUUAGUCGGGACCUAAGCCGAGGCCGAUAGGCGUAGGCGAUGGACAACAGGUAGAGAUUCCUGU